GUGAUGACUUUCAGCCCCCAGCCCCAUAUACUGGGGAUGAUCUUUUUGAAGAGCCAAGGGCAAAAAGGAUAAUGGACACCUGGGACUCAGAGAUGUUACUGGACAAUCCCUGAUGAAGCCUUUGAAGCCUUUGACGUGCAGACUUUUAACAGAGAGCUAAAGAGAAAAAUGAAGGAACAUCAAAAACACCUUAUAUCCCUCCUUUAUAAAUGGGUUCAUCUGCAGAAC